rnacentral:rRNA from 1 species
GAUCAUGGCUCAGAUUGAACGCUGGCGGCAGGCCUAACACAUGCAAGUCGAGCGGCAUCGGGAAGGUAGCUUGCUAUCUUUGCCGGCGAGCGGCGGACGGGUGAGUAAAGUCUGGGGAUCUGCCUGAUGGAGGGGGAUAACUACUGGAAACGGUAGCUAAUACCGCAUGAUGUUACGCGACCAAAGCGGGGGACCUCCGGGCCUCGCGCCAUCAGAUGAACCCAGAUGGGAUUAGCUAGUAGGAGAGGUAAUGGCUCCCCUAGGCGACGAUCCCUAGCUGGUCUGAGAGGAUAACCAGCCACACUGGAACUGAGAGACGGUCCAGACUCCUACGGGAGGCAGCAGUGGGGAAUAUUGCACAAUGGGCGCAAGCCUGAUGCUAGCCAUGCCGCGUGUGUGAAGAAGGCC